rnacentral:lncRNA from 13 species
AUUUAUUUCUAUUUAUUUAUUUUUUUUGAGACAUAGUCUCGCUCUAUCACCAGGCUGGAGUGCAGUGGCGCCAUCUUGGCUUACUGCAACUUCCGUUUUCCGGUUUCAAGCAAUUCUCCUGCCUCAGCCUCCCGAGUAGCUGGGACAACAGGCACUCACCACCACGCCCAGCUAAAUUUUUGUAUUUUUAGUAGAGACAGGGUUUCAUCAAGGUGGCCAGGAUGAUCUUGAUCUCUUGACCUCAUGAUCCACCUGCCUCGGCCUCCCAAAGUGCUGGGAUUACAGGUGUGAGCCACCACACCCAGCCAUUUAUUUCUAUUAUUUGUCCCCAUUUACCUUGCCAGGAAGAGUUGUUGAGAAAUAGCAUGAGCUACACUGUGAGGCUCCGAAGGCUCACCUGUUCCUGGCAUGGCAUUCCUAUUCCCAAGGUGCUCUCCUGGGUCUCUGACAGUCUGCUCCCUGCUAAUUGGUGCAGAUGGGAGUAGGAGGAUGAGCAGAGUACACGAGGGAAGAAGCAGAUUCUCCCAACGACGAAGCAGAGUCUCAGAGACAUUAAACAAUUUGCCCAACUUGAAGCAACUAGCAGGAGGCUUAGUCAGGAUGAGGCUGCAGGUCUCUCUGUCUCCAAGGAAAGUUUCCCAGGCAUUGACUCCACUGCCUGAAGUAGGAGUUGUGAAUAAAGAAGGGGAUGAGCAAGAAGAGGCAGAGGAAGCCUCCUAGCCAUGGUGCAGGCAUGACUCCAGGGAGAAACAGAGGGAGGCACGAUGAUCCAAGAGAAGGAGCCUCAGACUGCCUCUCUGAGAGUCCAGAUCAGACUGACGGGGAUUCCCAGAGCAGAGAGUAUCCAUCAGAGAAGUCCACCACAUUGGGCAGUAAUGGUCAAGCUCCAGCCAAUAAAAGCAAUAACACUUAACUUCUUGGUGACCUC